UGGGGAAUAUUGGACAAUGGAGGAAACUCUGAUCCAGCAAUUCUGUGUGUGUGAAGAAGGUUUUAGGACUGUAAAACACUUUUAGUAGGGAAGAAAAAAAUGACGGUACCUACAGAAGAAGCAACGGCUAAAUACGUGCCAGCAGCCGCGGUAAUACGUAUGUUGCGAGCGUUGUCCGGAAUUAUUGGGCGUAAAGAGUGCGUAGGCGGCAAAUUAAGUCAGAUGUGAAAACUAAGGGCUCAACCCAUAGAUUGCAUCUGAAACUGAUAUGCUUGAGUCAAGGAGAGGAAAGUGGAGUUCCUAGUGUAGCGGUGGAAUGCGUAGAUAUUAGGAGGAAUACCGGUGUCGAAGACGACUUUCUGGACUUGAACUGACGCUGAGGCACGAAAGCGUGGGGAGCAAACAGG
rnacentral:rRNA from 1 species